GAUGAACGCUAGCGGCAGGCUUAACACAUGCAAGUCGAGGGGCAGCAUGAUGAAACUUUCGGGUUUCAUUGAUGGCGACCGGCGCAAGGGUGCGUAACGCGUGAGCAACUUGCCCUUAUCAGGGGGAUAACCGGUGGAAACGCCGACUAAUACCCCAUAGCAUCAACUUUAGGCAUCUUUAGUUGAUUAAAGAAUUUCGGAUAAGGAUAGGCUCGCGUGACAUUAGCUAGAUGGCGGGGUAACGGCCCACCAUGGCGACGAUGUCUAGGGGUUCUGAGAGGAAGGUCCCCCACACUGGAACUGAGACACGGUCCAGACUCCUACGGGAGGCAGCAGUGAGGAAUAUUGGUCAAUGGCCGAGAGGCUGAACCAGCCAUGCCGCGUGAAGGUCACGGCCCUAUGGGCUUUAAAACUCUUUUUGUAAGGGAGCAAUAAGUCUCACGUGUGGGAUGAUGAGAGUACCUUACGAAUAAGCAUCGGCUAACUCCGUGCCAG
rnacentral:rRNA from 1 species